AGAGAGAGACAUGCGUGCAUAUCAAUAAGCGGAGGAAAAGAAACUAACAAGGAUUCCCUUAGUAACGGCGAGUGAAGCGGGAAGAGCUCAAAUUUGAAAUCUUCAAGGUUCUACCUUGACGAAUUGUAGCUUUAUAGAAGUGUUUUCUGUUAGUAGAGUGGCAAAAGUUCUUUGGAAUAGGACAUCAUAGAGGGUGAGAAUCCCGUAUUUGGUCAUUCUUCUAGCGUUGUGAUACACUUUCAACGAGUCGGAUUGUUUGGGAAUGCAGUCCAAAAUGGGUGGUAAAUUUCAUCUAAAGCUAAAUAUUGGCGAGAGACCGAUAGCGAACAAGUACCGUGAGGGAAAGAUGAAAAGAACUUUGAAAAGAGAGUUAAACAGUACGUGAAAUUGUCAAAAGGGAAGCGUUUGACACCAGUGUUGUUUUUCCGAAAAUCAAUUACGAAUGUUUUGUUUUUGAGAAGUUAUGACUUCAUCGGCUUGCUUCUUUCUUUACGAAACUUUCUUAAUGCACUUUUCGGUUAACAAGUCAACAUCAAUUUCUUUUGUUGUAAAAGGGUACUGAGGAAGGUGGCUUUCUUUUCGGAGAAAGUGUUUAUAGCCUUGUGCCUCUGCAAUCGGAGAGAUUGAGGUCUGCAGCGUAGAUCCUUCGGGGUUAGAUACAGUUUGUGCUAAGUUAUAGCUUUUCAUAGACAACUUGUUGACUAUGUUUAGUCUUGUAGCUUACUCGCUGAUGCUAUUUUACCUACGCUUAGGAUGUUGAUAGUCACAGCGUGUAC
rnacentral:rRNA from 1 species